AAACAUUCUAUUUUGUUGCUUCUAUGGCCAUGUCUUUACAAUUUCCAGUAUUUACAAGAUCUUAUAGAUGUAAUUUUUGUCAUGCUGUUAAAAUGCAGUAAAAAUGGUAAAGAGAUUUCUCAAAAUGUGUAAUAUACUUUUAUACAUAUGUGAAUGAGUAAAGAUUAAUAAUGUCCAAAGUCCACUGAAUAAUGGGACAUGUAAUUGAAUUUGAAAAAUAUGAUGUUGUUAACAAUUUUAAAUGACAUUGGAAUGAUAAGAUUACCCUAAGUUUUACACCUAUUUUUUCCCUCUUUUUAACUGACAAGGUACAAUGUUGGUGUUUUGGACAGGAAACUUUCUAAUUUUAAGAUUUUUGAAGAAAAAUUUGUACAACAUGUUGAGCAUUCAGUCAGAAUGAUGUCAUUUGGGAAAACAAAAUUCCAAAUGGAGAACUACAUAUGUACAGCACAGUUAUUUGAACUGUAUACAUACAUGUACUUGUAUGUUAUGUGAGUUUUGACAAUUCAGUUUUGGAUAAAAAUGAUGCUAAUUGAUCCUGUUUAAUUUGACUUUGUGUAAAUUUUAAAGCAACACUGUAAAAUUUGAACACAUGCCGUCAGAUUGACAUGUAAGAUACACUGACAAUAAUUUUUGUAAUUCUUUCUGGGUUAAUCCCAAUUUUGAUCUCUGCAGUGUAAAGGAGAUCAGGUUUGAUUUUGUUUAUAUUGUCUUGUUUUAGCCUGAGCUAAAAAGUAUUCUGGAGAGUCUACACAAUGUAUUUGUUAUAAUUAGUUUUCAUUCAUGAUUAUCACUGAAUAAAACAAUAUUCUUGC
rnacentral:sRNA from 1 species